UCGUAGCUAGUGCAAAGAUGGACUGUUGAUUUACCUGAUUAUAAAUAUGAAUUGUGAAUUUAACUAUAAUCUUUGGUGGUUCAGGUGAAGACAGGUUAUGAAAGUUCUAUUUGUCUUGGGUACAACAAAUAACUUUUGAUGGGUAUUAUAGGGAUGAAAUAUUAAUGAUAGAAUUUUAAUUUGAAGGAGAUAGUAGACAUUAUGUUCUACUUGACUCUUCUAAUGGAUUGUUGUUUCCGCUGCUAUUAUGGUUGAAAACUUUUAUCAUCUACCAAAUGUCCUCAAUCUCUGAUUUAUUAUUGAUGAAGACUAUUGAUAAAUUAAUUAUCUUAGUCAUAAUAUUCUUUAUUGGGC
rnacentral:lncRNA from 1 species